UACGGGGGGGGCAAGCGUUGUUCGGAAUUACUGGGCGUAAAGGGUGCGUAGGCGGCUUUCUAAGUUGGAUGUGAAAACUAUGGGCUCAACCCAUAGCCUGCAUCCAAAACUGGAGAGCUUGGGUUCUGGAGGGGAAAGCGGAAUUCCUGGUGUAGCGGUGGAAUGCGCAGAUAUCAGGAGGAACACCGAUAGCGAAGGCAGCUCGCUGGGACGGUACUGACGCUGAGACGCAAAAGCGUGGGGAGCGAACAGG
rnacentral:rRNA from 1 species